UACGUAGGGCGCGAGCGUUGUCCGGAAUUAUUGGGCGUAAAGAGCUCGUAGGCGGCCGGUUGCGUCUGCUGUGAAAUCCCGGGGCUUAACCCCGGGCGUGCAGUGGAUACGGGCCGGCUGGAGGCAGGCAGGGGAGAAUGGAAUUCCCGGUGUAGCGGUGAAAUGCGCAGAUAUCGGGAGGAACACCGGUGGCGAAGGCGGCUCUCUGGGACGUGACUGACGCUGAGACGCGAAAGCGUGGGGAGCAAACAGG
rnacentral:rRNA from 1 species